UAGGUGUGACAGCACUUGUUCAAAUUGGAACAGCAGCACGAACCAUCCCGAAGCCCGAAAUUGCAUAAAACAUCGCUCAGAGUCGUUGCGAAUACGCGACGCCUUCAUUUUGCAGUGAACCUCAAACCAACAAGAUGGCGUCACUUUGGAGAAUCGUUUUCGCUUGCUGCUUAAUAUUGGGCGCUUUCAGCGAUGCUUUAUCUCCACCAGUUAGACCUUCGCCCUGGUGUACUCCCUUGGAUACAAUGAAAGCUUUCGACAGAAGAACACCACGUUGCGGCCGGAAUGAGGUUUACUCGUGCUGUGGACCUUGCGUACAGCAAACCUGCAGACCUCGGCUACAAAAUGUGAAUUGUUUAGUUGCCUGCACGGAGGGUUGUGUCUGUAGGCAAGGGUUUGUGCGAAAUGUGCCGGGUGGAAUCUGUAUUCUGAAGUCUAGAUGUGCUAUUAGAGGAUGAAAGUGGAUUGCAAAAUGAGUCUGUGAAAUAUUUUUGGGAAUAUUGCUAUUCCAACGUCUACGUCUGCAGAAGGAACUCAAGAAUCAUGUCUACAGCAUCAAUCAAGAAAGGCUACCACCAGCCUAUGUACGUCAAGCACUUCGAAAAUAUUCCUAUCGGAAGAGCUAUGUGGAUCAUGAGUUAUAUUACCUAGAUGUAAAUAUUCUGCUAUAAACACAGUCUGUCUGCUCACUA